AUACCCGAACCAUUCCACAAAUUUUUAGCCUCCUUCCAAAUUCUGGGAAAAACAAAGAGAUAGCCAAAGGAGUGGAGCAGCCGUGAGUUUCCAGAUUUUGCUUCACAAAUUUUUGAUCCAUCAAACUAGAGGGUGAACUUUUGCACGUCGUUUGUGGUUGAAGCAGAAAGGGAUUGACGAGUCAAGCGUUUGAGGGAGUGAGUCUCUAUUCAGGCUAGUGUACACCUAUGGAGAUCGUGAGCCGUCUUUUGGGUC